AACGAACGCUGGCGGCAGGCUUAACACAUGCAAGUCGAGCGCCCCGCCAGGGGAGCGGCUGCCGGGUGAGUAACGCGUGGGAACGUACCUUUUGGUUCGGAACAACUCCGGGAAACUGGAGCUAAUACCGGAUAAGCCCUAACGGGGAAAGAUUUAUCUCCGAAAGCUCGGCCCGCGUCUGAUUAGCUAGUUGGUGAGGUAACGGCUCACCAAGGCGACGAUCAGUAGCUGGUCUGAGAGGAUGAUCAGCCACACUGGGACUGAGACACGGCCCAGACUCCUACGGGAGGCAGGAGUGGGGAAUAGUGGAAAAUGGGGGCAAGCCUGAACCAGCCAUGACGCGUGAGUGAUGAAGGUCUUAGGGUUGUAAAGCUCUUUUGUCCGGGAAGAUAAUGACUGUACCGGAAGAAUAAGCCCCGGCUAACUUCGUG
rnacentral:rRNA from 1 species